rnacentral:rRNA from 1 species
UGGGGAAUCUUCCGCAAUGGGCGAAAGCCUGACGGAGCAACGCCGCGUGAGUGAAGAAGGUUUUCGGAUCGUAAAGCUCUGUUAUCGGGGGCGAAAGGUGAGACUGUGAAUAAUGGUUUCAUAAGACGGUACCUGAUGAGAAAGCCACGGCUAACUACGUGCCAGCAGCCGCGGUAAUACGUAGGGGGCAAGCGUUAUCCGGAUUUACUGGGUGUAAAGGGAGCGUAGGUGGUUCGAUAAGUCAGAUGUGAAAGCCCGGGGCUCAACCCCGGGACUGCAUUUGAAACUAGGUAGCUAGAAUUCUGGAGAGGUCAGUGGAAUUCCGAGUGUAGAGGUGAAAUUCGUAGAUAUUCGGAAGAACACCAGUGGCGAAGGCGACUGACUGGACAGAUAUUGACGCUGAGGUGCGAAAGCGUGGGGAGCAAACA